UUUGGUGGUUAUGGAGUGAGUGUUCACCUCUUCCCAUUCCGAACAGAGAAGUUAAGCCUCACAUCGCCGAUGAUACUGCGCUUGUUCGUGGAAAAGUAGGUCGCCGCCAAUC
rnacentral:rRNA from 1 species